GACGAACGCUGGCGGCGUGCUUAACACAUGCAAGUCGAACGGAAAGGCCCUGCUUUUGUGGGGUGCUCGAGUGGCGAACGGGUGAGUAACACGUGAGUAACCUGCCCUUGACUUUGGGAUAACUUCAGGAAACUGGGGCUAAUACCGGAUAGGAGCUCCUGCUGCAUGGUGGGGGUUGGAAAGUUUCGGCGGUUGGGGAUGGGUUCGCGGCUUAUCAGUUGGUGGUUGGGGAGGUGGCUUACCAAGGCUUCGACGGGUAGCCGCCCUGAGGGGGUGACCGGCCACAUUGGGACUGAGAUACGGCACAGACUCCUACGGGAGGCAGCAGUGGGGAAUAUUGCACAAUGGGCGGAAGCCUGAUGCAGCAACGCCGCGUGCGGGAUGACGGCCUUCGGGUUGUAAACCGCUUUCGCCUGUGACGAAGCGUGAGUGACGGUAAUGGGUAAAGAAGCACCGGCUAACUACGUG
rnacentral:rRNA from 1 species